CAACCGGGGAGGGUCAUUGGAAACUGGGGAACUUGAGUGCAGAAGAGGAGAGUGGAAUUCCACGUGUAGCGGUGAAAUGCGUAGAGAUGUGGAGGAACACCAGUGGCGAAGGCGACUCUCUGGUCUGUAACUGACGCUGAGGAGCGAAAGCGUGGGGAGCGAACAGGAUUAGAUACCCUGGUAGUCCACGCCGUAAACGAUGAGUGCUAAGUGUUAGGGGGUUUCCGCCCCUUAGUGCUGCAGCUAACGCAUUAAGCACUCCGCCUGGGGAGUACGGUCGCAAGACUGAAACUCAAAGGAAUUGACGGGGGCCCGCACAAGCGGUGGAGCAUGUGGUUUAAUUCGAAGCAACGCGAAGAACCUUACCAGGUCUUGACAUCCUCUGACAAUCCUAGAGAUAGGACGUCCCCUUCGGGGGCAGAGUGACAGGUGGUGCAUGGUUGUCGUCAGCUCGUGUCGUGAGAUGUUGGGUUAAGUCCCGCAACGAGCGCAACCCUUGAUCUUAGUUGCCAGCAUUCAGUUGGGCACUCUAAGGUGACUGCCGGUGACAAACCGGAGGAAGGUGGGGAUGACGUCAAAUCAUCAUGCCCCUUAUGACCUGGGCUACACACGUGCUACAAUGGACAGAACAAAGGGCAGCGAAACCGCGAGGUUAAGCCAAUCCCACAAAUCUGUUCUCAGUUCGGAUCGCAGUCUGCAACUCGACUGCGUGAA
rnacentral:rRNA from 1 species